rnacentral:tRNA from 2 species
UCCGCCGUGGUGUAAGUGGCAGCACUGGGUCUUUUGGUGUCCUCAGUCCGGGUUCGAGUCCUGGCGGCGGAGCAA